CUACGGGAUGCUCCAGUGAGGAAUAUUGCACAAUGGGGGAAACUCUGAUGCAGCAACGCCGCGUGGAGGAUGACGCAUUUCGGUGUGUAAACUCCUUUUAUAUGUCAAGAAAAUGACGGUAGCAUAUGAAUAAGCACCGGCUAACUCCGUGCCAGCAGCCGCGGUAAUACGGAGGGUGCAAGCGUUACUCGGAAUCACUGGGCGUAAAGGACGCGUAGGCGGGUUGGAAAGUCAGGUGUGAAAUCCUACAGCUUAACUGUAGAACUGCACUUGAAACUUCUAAUCUAGAGUAUGGGAGGGGGAGAUGGAAUUAGUGGUGUAGGGGUAAAAUCCGUAGAUAUCACUAGGAAUACCUAAAGCGAAGGCGAUCUCCUGGAACAUUACUGACGCUAAGGCGUGAAAGCGUGGUGAGCAAACAGGAUUAGAUACCCUGGUAGUC
rnacentral:rRNA from 1 species